GACUGAAUAUGAUUUAAGUUGUUUGCAUCUCUUGAAAUUGCAAUCUUUGGUGUUUCAGUACUCCAAAGUUUCAUAAUAUUCGUUUAAAGUUUUACCUGUCGCCAUCUUGUUUUAUUUGUGAGCUCUGGUAGGAACAAAGAGUCUCUUAUGGCAUUUGCGUCUGAUUAUUGGAGUACUUAUUUAUCACCACAGCUCUCUGGUUUGUCCUUCUUGUAUGUAACCAGCAAUACUAAGUGCAUUCGGCUGACUCCAGUAAAUCAGCAAGUGAUCCAGUUAUUCCAGAAAAUAUUCCUGAGCUUGAAAGUAACCAUAAAGAAGUAGAUACUCACCUGCUACUUCAUGCAAAGCAUGCAGCGCAAACCUAUCAUCAUCUUAUCGUCAAAACCCCCUAUAGGGUUGUUUUUUUUUAAUUUGUACUGCCACGCAGAAGAAAGUUGGUAAUCUUUAUUUAUUGACGGGAACUGGUAAAAAAUUUCGAGCCAUAAAUAUCACAUCAUUGUCAGAUAGACUCGGAGAGGAUUUGUGGCAAUGCUUACCGUCAUUUCAUGCAUUUACAGGCUGCGGUUCUACGAGUGCCUUAACGGGAAAGGGAAGCCUUGGAAGGUACUUCAUGAUAACCCUGAGCUUAUCGAAACAUCUGGCAAGUGUUCUGACGAAUGCCUUCCCCCAAAGGCAGAUAGCCUGCUUCGCACAUUAAGAGAGCCAACUACCAAGCAGCCAUCUGGAGGAAUUGUGUUACUAUCAAGUCGUCAUACAACUUAAGAAUAAACCAAAUUACAAAUUUAUUAUUUUCAAAUUAUUAUCUUUGUUUUCAA